AGGGUUCGAUUCCGGAGAGGGAGCCUGAGAAACGGCUACCACAUCCAUGGUAGGCAGCAGGCGCGUAAAUUACCCAAUCCUGAUUCAGGGAGGUAGUUACGAGAAAUAUGGGAUCGGCAAAUGCCGAGGUUCAACUGGACUGAAUUUAAACCAUUCUAUGAAUACGAUUGGAGGGCAAGUCUGGUGCCAGCAGCCGCGGUAACUCCAGCUCCAAUAGUGUAUCUUAACGUUGUUGCAGUUAAAAAGCUCGUAGUUGAAUUUCUGGUUAGUUGGCUACUCUUAGGAGUGACCUGACUAAUCAUCCGCGUUAGAAACUAGCCAGGUAUUUAUUUACCAGUUAGUGAACGGCGCAUUUUACCUUGAAGAAAUUAGAGUGUUCCAAGCAAGCAUUGCAUGAAUAUUACAGCAUGGAAUAAUGGAAUAGGACAGAGUCAAUUUUAUUGGUUAUUCGACUUUGUAAUGAUUAACAGGGACAGUUGGGGCAUUCGUAUUCAGUUGUCAGAGGUGAAAUUCGUAGAUUAACUGAAGACGAACUAAUGCGAAAGCAUUUGCCAAA
rnacentral:rRNA from 1 species